GAUGAAGAACGUAGCGAAAUGCGAUAAGUAAUGUGAAUUGCAGAAUUCAGUGAAUCAUCGAGUCUUUGAACGCACAUUGCGCCCCCUGGUAUUCCGGGGGGCAUGCCUGUCCGAGCGUCAUUGCUGCCCUCAAGCACGGCUUGUGUGUUGGGCCCCCGUCCCCGGUUUCCCCCGGGGACGGGCCCGAAAGGCAGCGGCGGCACCGCGUCCGGUCCUCGAGCGUAUGGGGCUUUGUCACCCGCUCUGUAGGCCCGGCCGGCGCCAGCCGACACCCAACUUUAUUUCUAAGGUUGACCUCGGAUCAGGUAGGGAUACCCGCUGAACUUAAGCAUAUCAAUAAGCGGAGGA
rnacentral:misc_RNA from 1 species